GAGAGCCCUCAUCACAGUGACGGCCUCCACUGUAUACAUGGGGGCAUAAAACUGCGGGUUCGUGGAUGCACAAUAUUUGGCCACAUCUUCCAUUGAAAACGAAACCGGAAGUACCGUGGCCCCAGUUUGUGGAAAUGUCCAGCUGGAACAGCGUGGUGCAGACUUCCAGAAGCCACAGAGGACAGAUACACUCCCAGGAGACCUGAAGGACCCUAACAGAGUGCCUGAAAGCCAACAUCUCUCAACCAUAAGCCCCAAUCCAACCAUCAGCGGAACACAUCUGUUAGAAGGAGCACCAACCACCAGACGCUUUCUUUCUACCACACAAGAAAUGGCUUUUUCACUCAACAAAACAAUCUGGGACGGAGUUUCUACCAUUAACUACAUCAUGCGACACUGUCAUCGUUUCCACAUCUUAUCCCACCAAACCACUCAGGCUCCUCGAGGGCGCCGACUGUGGACUUGGUCCCUGUGCCCCUGGGUGUCCGCCCUCCCAC
rnacentral:lncRNA from 1 species